rnacentral:rRNA from 1 species
CCUUCCGUAGGGGGAACCUGCGGAGGGAUCAUUACCGAGUUUACAACUCCCAAACCCAAUGUGAACGUUACCAAACUGUUGCCUCGGCGGGAUCUCUGCCCCGGGUGCGUCGCAGCCCCGGACCAAGGCGCCCGCCGGAGGACCAACCAAAACUCUUAUUGUAUACCCCCUCGCGGGUUUUUUUAUAAUCUGAGCCUUCUCGGCGCCUCUCGUAGGCGUUUCGAAAAUGAAUCAAAACUUUCAACAACGGAUCUCUUGGUUCUGGCAUCGAUGAAGAACGCAGCGAAAUGCGAUAAGUAAUGUGAAUUGCAGAAUUCAGUGAAUCAUCGAAUCUUUGAACGCACAUUGCGCCCGCCAGUAUUCUGGCGGGCAUGCCUGUCCGAGCGUCAUUUCAACCCUCGAACCCCUCCGGGGGGUCGGCGUUGGGGAUCGGCCCUCCCUUAGCGGGUGGCCGUCUCCGAAAUACAGUGGCGGUCUCGCCGCAGCCUCUCCUGCGCAGUAGUUUGCACACUCGCAUCGGGAGCGCGGCGCGUCCACAGCCGUUAAACACCCAACUUCUGAAAUGUUGACCUCGGAUCAGGUAGGAAUACCCGCUGAACUUAAGCAUAUCAAUAAGCGGAGGA